rnacentral:rRNA from 1 species
UACGUAGGUGGCAAGCGUUGUCCGGAAUUUAUUGGGCGUAAAGCGCGCGCAGGCGGUCCUUUAAGUCUGAUGUGAAAGCCCACGGCUCAACCGUGGAGGGUCAUUGGAAACUGGGGGGACUUGAGUGCAGGAGAGAAGAGUGGAAUUCCACGUGUAGCGGUGAAAUGCGUAGAGAUGUGGAGGAACACCAGUGGCGAAGGCGACUCUUUGGCCUGUAACUGACGCUGGAGGCGCGAAAAGCGU